CUUCGGCGGGUCAUUGCCCCGGGGAAACGACAGGUGUGGCCGUCAGGUCCCCCUGCCCGACCCCCCGGAAACAGGCGCCCGCCGGGGGACUCAAACUCUUAUGUAUUUUUGUUUACUGUAUACUGUCUGAGUAAAAAUUACAAAUGAAUCAAAACUUUCAACAACGGAUCUCUUGGUUCUGGCAUCGAUGAAGAACGCAGCGAAAUGCGAUAAGUAAUGUGAAUUGCAGAAUUCAGUGAAUCAUCGAAUCUUUGAACGCACAUUGCGCCCGCCAGUAUUCUGGCGGGCAUGCCUGUUCGAGCGUCAUUUCAACCCUCAAGCCCCCUGUGGACUUGGUGUUGGGGACCGGCGACAGCCUCUCUUGUCUGUCGCCGCCCCCUAAAUGAAUUGGCGGCCCCGUCGCGGCCCUCCUCUGCGUAGUAGCUAACACCUCGCAACAGGAGCCCGGCGGCGGCCACUGCCGUAAAACACCCCAAACUUUUUUAGAGUUGACCUCGAAUCAGGUAGGAAUACCCGCUGAACUUAAGCAUAUCAAUA
rnacentral:rRNA from 1 species